UCGGACACAACUGUAUGAGCACCACGCUAGUCGACACAGAGUGAGACACGUUGCUCCAACAAAGGCUUCUGGAUGCGGUGUCUCCCGCGGCUCAGGUGAAAGGUCACGGCAGUUUCCUGCGGCAUCGCUAUGACGACCAGCCAGCGCUCGCCUCACGCAUGAGUCGGUGCUAAAUCUGCAAUGGAAAAAGGAGGACGGGGCACCGCGGUCGAGCCGAGCCGAGUAGAGCUGAUACUAGCA
rnacentral:lncRNA from 1 species